rnacentral:rRNA from 1 species
CACGUAGGGCGCAAGCGUUGUCCGGAAUUAUUGGGCGUAAAGAGCUCGUAGGCGGUCUGUUGCGUCCGCUGUGAAAACUCGGGGCUUAACCCCGAGCCUGCAGUGGAUACGGGCAGACUAGAGGUAGGUAGGGGAGAAUGGAAUUCCUGGUGUAGCGGUGAAAUGCGCAGAUAUCAGGAAGAACACCCGUGGCGAAGGCGGCUCUCUGGGACGGUACUGACGCUGAGGCACGAAAGCGUGGGGAGCGAACAGG